AAGUGUCCAGGGAUGGGAAUCGAACCCACAGUGUUCCGCUUACCGGGCAGAUGCCAUGUCCACUUAUAGGCUACAAUACC